rnacentral:tRNA from 1 species
GGAGGCAUACCGAAGUGGUCAUAACGGGGCGGUCUUGAAAACCGUUAGUCUGAAAGGGCACGGGGGUUCGAGUCCCUCUGCCUCCGCCA